GAUGAACGCUAGCGGCAGGCCUAACACAUGCAAGUCGAGGGGCAUCAUGGCGUAGCAAUACGCUGAUGGCGACCGGCGCACGGGUGCGUAACGCGUAUCGGAACCUACCCACCGCAGGGGGAUAACCCCGCCGAAAGGCGGACUAAUACCCCAUGGUUCCCCCGACCCUGCCGUGGGGUUGGGGGUAAAGCCUACGGGCGGCGGUGGAUGGCCCUGCGUGCCAUUAGCUGGCUGGUGGGGUAACGGCCCACCAGGGCGACGAUGGCUAGGGGGUCUGAGAGGACGAUCCCCCACACUGGUACUGAGACACGGACCAGACUCCUACGGGAGGCAGCAGUAAGGAAUAUUGGUCAAUGGACGAAAGUCUGAACCAGCCAUGCCGCGUGGAGGAUGAAGGUCCUCUGGAUUGUAAACUUCUUUUAUAUGGGACGAAAAAAGGGUUUUCUAACUCGUCUGACGGUACCAUAUGAAUAAGCACCGGCUAACUCCGUG
rnacentral:rRNA from 1 species